UUAUUUGACAUAUAUUGUAUAAAAUCAAAAGAGGAGUGUUUUAUGUUUGAAGAAAAUAUGAAAUUGGAUUUAUUCCUAUAAGAAAUAAUAACAACUAAAGCCUAUGGGAAAGUUUGAUUGCAAAAAUAUGAUCAAGAACUUAAUCAAGCGAUUUUCACCGGGUUAUUUUGUGCAUGAAAUGAACAUAAAUGGUACCGGAAGCUAAAACGAGUUAGCUUUUAGCGGAAGCGAGACUUGCAACAAGGUGACGGAAAACAAACUUUUAUCAUGUUGUUUAGGGUCUCCUUAGAGAUGCCCCUGCACGAGCAAUAAAGAUAGCAGUCGUAUUAAAAAUAAUAUUGAUGUUGUAUGUUUUAUUGCAGAUAUAUAGUUUCUUUUA